rnacentral:rRNA from 1 species
UACGGGGGGGGCAAGCGUUGUUCGGAAUUACUGGGCGUAAAGGGCUCGUAGGCGGCCAAGUAAGUCGGAUGUGAAAUCCCCAGGCUUAACUUCGGAACUGCAUCCGAUACUGGAUGGCUUGAAUCCGGGAGAGGGAUGCGGAAUUCCAGGUGUAGCGGUGAAAUGCGUAGAUAUCUGGAGGAACACCGGUGGCGAAGGCGGCAUCCUGGACCGGCAUUGACGCUGAGGAGCGAAAGCCAGGGGAGCAAACGGG